GGAUUUAUUAGGGACACAACAUGAUAUGUCAAAGAAGGACUCCAAGGAGCCUCUUACGGUUGUAAAAUGGCCUUGCAUGGGGAAUUUGCUGCAUGUAAAAGAGAACAGCUAUAUGCUGCUCAUCUAGUACUGGAAUUAGUUCAGUAUUCAACUCUUUGAAAGGGUAGAUAAUGGCAGGACAAGGGAAAAUAGUUUGAAGUUGAAGGAGGGAAGAUUUAGGUUGGAUGUCAGGGGAAGUUCUUUACUGUGAGAGUGGUGAGGUGCUGGAACAGCUGCCCAGAGAGGCUGUGGAUGCCCCGUCCAUCCCUGGAGGUGUUCAAGGCCAGGUUGGAUGGGGCCCUGGGCAGCCUGGGCUGGUAUUACAUGUGGAGGUUGGUGGCCCUGCCUGUGGUGGGGGGGUUGGAGCUUCAUAGUCCUUGAGGUCCCUUCCAACCCAACCCAUUCUGUGAUUCCACACUCCCCUUUUUCCUGCCACUUCUUGCUUUACAUUAAAAUCAUAACUUUUAAUGCAUGAAACCGCUUAAAUGCAAUUAAAACCACUAACCCUCAGAGCACAGGAGACAAUUAAAUUGUUUCUUUGCCAUCCAUUACUGUAAUGGGGUCUAAGCAUGGCAUUAAAUUCAGCAAAUAAAGCAGCAGCGCAGGCAGGG
ensembl:lncRNA